GCUGCUUGACCCACCUGCCUGCCCUUUAGAUGAACUCAAAAGGAGGAAGCUUAGAAACCUCCUCCCCUUAGAGUCUCUUAGAAACAACAAUCAACUAUUGUUUUACAAAUGUUCUAACAGCAGGACGUUCUGCUUCUGUACUUUUCGCUUGCUUUACUAGUUCUAUCCCAUAGGGGGCCCUAGAAACUGCUGGCCUCAAAGGUGUAUAAAACAUGUUUGUCUCCCCCUAGUCGGGGACUCGAGUCCGAUGCUUGGCUUGAGUCCUCGCCGGUAAUAAACUCCUGUGUGGAUUUAAUGUCGGUCUCUGGUUGGUUCUCUCUCACUGGGUGCAACAUUCUUGGAGGCCCCAGAGAGAUGGCCAGCUGCUCUGGAGCUUAUUCUCUUGGAGCCUUUGUUUCUUUUUAGGAGAGACCAGGAUCAGACAUCAGCGGUGUUUGGCCCCUCUGGACACCAGUCUGCGGAAAGAGAGGCCACCCUGACGGUAUUCCAGGGCUCUGGGUAGACCAGUCCCAGUCCGGCCCUAUCGCUGAUCAACCAACCCGCAGGAGUAUAUCGGGAAAGCCUCUAGAGAGACAGAGAAGAUGAAUAUGGCAUAAAAUUUUCUAAAGGCAAAUUGCAAACUCUGUGUCAAUCAGAAUGGCCAAGUUUCAGGGUCCCUAUUGACCUUUGGCAACCCUAAAUUGGAGGAGAAGGGGAAAUCGAAACCCACUGGAAUAGAGCCCCUCUCUGAUGGCUCUGUCAACCAGUAAAGGUGUUCUCCAGUCUGACCCUGAGGACAAUUUGUGCCGACCUCUCCCUUAUCAUCCAACUUGGGAUGACUACCAGCAGCUUUUACAGAUCCUCUUCACCACUGAGGAGCGGGACUGCAUUUAUCAACAGCCAGUCAAAGAGGCCCUGGGGCCAAACCCCAGCAUCACUCCCAGAACUCUGGGGUAUUCAGCCAGGGCUGAAACAGUGGUUCUGUCGCAAUGCCCCAAAUGGGACCCCAAUGACGAUGAUGGUAGAAGGAGGCUGGGGACCUACCACCAGCACUUAUUAGGGGGACUCCAGACAGUGG
rnacentral:lncRNA from 1 species